GUAGCUUUUCUUUUCUAUAGAGACUUAUCGAUGAAUUAUACUACUAAGUGGGUCUUGUGUUUGUUAUGUUGGCCUACACAUACACAUGGGACUCAGGACCCUUUUCGGCCUUAUAUUACUUCUCCCUCUUUAUCUUGCCUUUACUUUUCAUAUAUUCAAUUAGAUUAUAUUUAGGGUUAGGGUUAGGGCAGUCUAUUCUCUCCUCCUUUUCUACUUCCUCGUAUUCCUCAUUUUCCGACUCCUUUUUUUUCUUUUUUGUUUUUCAAGUUUUCUAUUUCAUUGCCUGCUGAUCUUGAUGUUGGUAGCAAGCACCGAGAGGGUUUAAUUAUGAAGUCCUGAAUAAACAAAAGAAACCAGUCACUGUUUGCCGGUGGAGCAUCAUCAAGAUUCACAAGCUUUUUAGGGCCAUUAAUUUGUUUGAGGUGGUCCCUUAUUACUCCAAACCAAUUAGGCCUUUGCUAUGGGAAUCUUGAUGAUGCUGCAGCAGCAAUAAAUGACUAAUACCACCGGCUAUUGUUUGAGGAUCUUACCACUACGCAACUGUUCGACAAUGCUCGGAGCAAAAGAGGUUAUUAAUUAACUCAACAGUUGUCAUGCUAAUUUGUUUUCUAAUAUUUGAGAAGUUAAUUAGAUCAUCACCCAGUUACUUGCCACUUUUGGAUUUACCUUUAUUAACUGCAGUAGCUGUUAAGUCGUGUUCAACAUGGAUGGUAAAGUACUUGAGGUUUUUUGUGGAAAUCUUGAAUCAAGUGCAGUUCAGACCAUUCGUUGAUUGAGACAGCAUAGAUAAUGAUGCCAUUGGCCUGCCUGUACUGCAAAACCCCUUACCACCUGCAAAGCUCAGUAGGUAUGUCUGUACGUUGAUGGAACAUUGUGUACUACCAUGGAUCAUUGAAUGCUUUUACUUCAUGGACAUUUGGGGUAACACUAUUUAUCUUUUCUCUUCUUCACUUAUAUACACACCUGUAUAUAUAUAAAUAUAUGUGUGUGUAUGUAUAUACAUCUCAUAUAUAUGCAUAUACCUGUAUGCUUAAUUUGAGAUUGGGCAUGGCCAGCAUCUUUUUCUUUAUACACGAUGUGUUUGGAAUAUUAAUAUGUUAAUGAUAUUAAACAUAUGUAGGUAGCACUUUCAGUGCUCUUGAUAUUGUUGCCGGAAAAAGCAGAUUAAAAUUAAUUGUUUCUCGGAAUGAACAUAAUUAUCCUUUUAAUUAA